rnacentral:rRNA from 1 species
GGAUCUCACACUGGACCGCUCGUUUGACAGCCUAACACAUGCAAGUCGAACGGCAGCACAGAGGAGCUUGCUCCUUGGGUGGCGAGUGGCGGACGGGUGAGGAAUACAUCGGAAUCCACUUCGUGGGGGAUAACGUAGGGAAACUUACUGCUAAUACCGCAUACGACCUACAGGGUGAAAGCANGGUGAUCUUCGGACCUUGCGCGAUUGAAUGAGCCGACGUCGGAUUAGCUAGUUGGCGGGGUAAAGGCCCACCAAGGCGACUGAUCCGUAGCUUGGUCUAGAGAGGAUAGAUCAGCCACACUAGGAACUAGAGACACCGGUCCACGACUCCUACGGGAGGCAGCAGUGGGGAAUAUAUGGACAAUGGGCGCAAGCCUGAUACCAGCCAUACCGCGUGGGUAGAAGAAGGCCUUCGUGGUUAGUAAAUGCCCUUUUGUUGGGAAAGAAAUCCAGCCGGCUAAUACCUGGUUUGGAUGACGGUACCCAAAGAAUAAGCACCGGCUAACUUCGUGCCAGCAGCCGCGNGUAAUACGAAGGGUGCNAGCGUUACUACNUGAAUUACUGNGCGUAAAAAGCGUGCGUAGGUGGUUUAUUUAAGU